rnacentral:rRNA from 1 species
UACGUAGGGUGCGAGCGUUUGUCCGGAAUUAUUUGGGCGUAAAGAGCUCGUAGGCGGUCUGUCGCGUCGGUCGUGAAAACUUGGGGCUUAACCCUGAGCUUGCGGUCGAUACGGGCAUGACUGGAGUUCGGCAGGGGAGACUGGAAUUCCGGGUGUAGCGGUGGAAUGCGCAGAUAUCAGGAGGAACACCGGUGGCGAAGGCGGGUCUCUGGGCCGAUACUGACGUGAGGAGCGAAAAGCGUGGGGGAGCAAACAGG